CGUAGACUAGGUGAAUCAUCGAAUCUUUGAACGCAACCUGCACUUUCUAGUAUUUAUAUUAGAAAGUAUACUUGUUUGAGUAUCAGAAACAUUUAUCAAAACAAGUUUGUUUUGGAAUUGAGGUCUUUUCUUACGAAAACUCCUUUAAAGUAUCGGAUUGGGUAGAUUUAUUAUAAAUCUUUCCAAUUAGUGUUGUAUUAAACAGUUUGUUUAACGCAUUAAUUAAGGAAUAGAUUUGAUAGAUUUACAUUAUACCAAACCGUCCAUAUUACUAUUUAUUUAGUAUUAUAGAACCUUUGAUCUCAAAUCAAGUAAGACUACCCGCUGAACUUAAGCAUAUCAAUAAGCGGAGG
rnacentral:rRNA from 1 species